rnacentral:rRNA from 1 species
CAGAGGGAAGCAAGACCGCGAGGUGGAGCAAAUCCCUAAAAGCCAUCCCAGUUCGGAUUGCAGGCUGCAACCCGCCUGUAUGAAGUUGGAUUCGCUAGUAAUCGCGCAUCAGCCACGGCGCGGUGAAUACGUUCCCGGGCCUUGUACACACCGCCCGUCAAGCCAUGGAAGCCGGGAGUGCCUGAAGUGCGUGAGCGCAAGCAGCGCCCUAAGGUAAAACCGGUGACUGGGGCUAAGUCGUAACAAGGUAUC